UACGUAGGGUGCGAGCGUUAAUCGGAAUUACUGGGCGUAAAGCGUGCGCAGGCGGUGAUGUAAGACAGGUGUGAAAUCCCCGGGCUAACCUGGGAACUGCAUUUGUGACUGCAUCGCUGGAGUACGGCAGAGGGGGAUGGAAUUCCGCGUGUAGCAGUGAAAUGCGUAGAUAUGCGGAGGAACACCGAUGGCGAAGGCAAUCCCCCUGGGCCUGCACUGACGCUCAUGCACGAAAGCGUGGGGAGCAAACAGG
rnacentral:rRNA from 1 species